rnacentral:antisense_RNA from 1 species
GUAACAAGAAGCGCAUUUUUAAGUCUUUCUGGCCGUCAGACUUGUUUCACUCUCUUGUUACUCACUGCAAUUUCCUUAUUAACUCCUAUACUUGUAUCCGCCCAAACCGAGUUGGUUUGGGCUUUUUUUU